GGUUUUGUAGUGUAAUUAACAUUUUAGAUUGCAAAUCUGUCGAUGCGGGUGUGUCCGCCAAAACUU
rnacentral:tRNA from 1 species